UACAGAGGUCCCGAGCGUUGUUCGGAUUCACUGGGCGUAAAGGGUGCGUAGGUGGUGAGGUAAGUCGGAUGUGAAAUCUCCGAGCUCAACUCGGAAAUGGCAUUGGAAACUACCUUGCGUUGAGGGUUGGAGGGGGGACUGGAAUACUUGGUGUAGCAGUGAAAUGCGUAGAUAUCAAGUGGAACACCAGUGGCGAAGGCGAGUCCCUGGACAACUCCUGACACUGAGGCACGAAAGCUAGGGGAGCAAACAGG
rnacentral:rRNA from 1 species